AGCAGUAUCUUAUGGGGAAAAGGUACUUGAUCGUGAUGGACGAUGUUUGGGACAAGAACUUGAGUUGGUGGGACAAGAUUCACCAAGGACUACCUAGAGGACAAGGUGGGAGCGUUAUUGUCACCACAAGAUCAGAAUCUGUGGCGGUUAAGGUUCAGGCGAGGGAGAAGACUCACCGUCCAGAGCUGCUUAGCGCUGACAACAGCUGGCUGCUGUUUUGUAAAGUGGCCUUUGCGGCUAACAAUGGUGUGUGUGAGCGUUCUGAGCUUGAGGAUGUUGGGAAGGAGAUUGUAACCAAGUGCAAAGGCUUG
rnacentral:lncRNA from 1 species